CUCCCUCUCUUCCUCCUUUGUUCCUUUACUUCUUUUUUUUUUUUUUUGAUACUUAGGCUAUAAUUCAAAAAUGUUGAUCUGUAGAUUAGACAUUGUAAUAAUUUGCACAGAAUCUGUUAUUAAUAUACAUGUAGGUGUUUGGUAAACAAGUAUUUCCAUAAUAGGUCAUGAGGAAUUUGUAAUCACUUCGCAAGCACUGCUUCAUUAAUCUUAACAAUUUUCUUGUGAGGUUAAUUGUGUAGCAAUAAUUAAUCUCCCCUUUGAGUAGGUGGGCUUUUGUCUCAUUGAGAAUAUUCUUAUCUCCCCUGAGAGGCGGGAGAGGAAAAGUAGGCUGUUUAAACUUUAAAUAUGACUCCAUGAGUUAGUGGGGAGGAAAUAAUUCUUCCCAUUGUUAGUGGUAUGCUGGCAAGCUUUGUUCUACGGGGCUGUGCUUUCCAUUUAAUUUCCUGGCUUUCCUAUUCUCAAGAAGUUUGGAUGAUGAUAUGCUCAUUACUUAUAAGAGAGACUUCAGCAGUCAACGAGGAGUACACGUAGGCCAUUGAACAACAAAAAAAUUAAAACAAAAUGAAAAAAUAAACAUUUUUCUGGUAUUUUUUCUUCGUAUAUUUUGUGACAAAAAUCCACGAAUGGAGUGAAUUGCCAGUUUAGUUCCCACAUUUGUAUAUCUGAUCUGUCACACACACAUCCGCAUAUACACUUAUAUGUGAAUAUAUAACAUUAAAUAAUCACAACUAUUUUAUGCAUAUAUAAUUUGAAAAGAUAAACAUUUUUCAAUAGUUUGAGAAUAUAUUCCCUGUUAAACUGAAUUUACUAAUGAAAUAUUUACUAAAUAUACUUUUAACCAGAGUGAUUUAUGAGAAGAUCAUAGGAAUAACAAAGAAUAAAAAUACCUUUUGCCAAGGAAGCUUUAUAUUUUAAUUUGAUUUUUUUGAAAAUUCACACGAUGUCUUUUUAAUCAAUACAUUCAGAGCAGUAUUCUGUGGAUCUUUUUGUAUGUCAGAAAUUAAAGUUUGACUUAGGAUUUAAAAGUAAAUCGUUUGUCAAGUAGGUUUCUAAAAUUGAAAACGUGUUCAUUUCAAAAGGGAACAAUUUACUUUUACAUUUCUGAGGAAGUCACAUAUAUUAUGUACUAAUAAAUUAACAGUCUCAUAUUCACUUUAAUCCUUGAUUGUUUCUUUGGCAGUUUGUUACAUGCUAGAUUCUACACUCCCACAGCUAUAAAUUCAGUUCCAGAACGUAGGAAGGUAAUUUUAAAGUAAAACAAAAAUUGUUGCAAGAGACAACAUGUCAUAGUGGUUAAGAAUCAGUCUCCCUGGUUUCAAAUCCCAAUUUCCAACUUUUCAGCCUUGAGACUUUUACACACUUACCUAAACAUCAGGAUUUAGUUUGUUUUGUUUUUUGCUUUUGUUUCUGUAUUUCUGUGAAGUGGUGAUGAUUUUAAUGAGAGAAUUGGAAGGUUGAAUGGGGUAAUGCCUGUAAAAUAUUUAGCAUAAUGCUUGGACUGUGUAUUAAAGACUCAAUAAAUGUUAAAUUCCAUUAAUUGGGUAAUCCUGAAACCCUUUACUGCAAUUAGAAUUCUUUAUUACAACAAAUAAAAUUUGAUUCAUAAUAAAAAGUGAUCAAUUUCUUUAAUUGACCUCUGAGAAAUUAAAAUGCCUCCUGGAUUGUUAAGUCCUCAGAAAUGUAUUGCAUCUUUAAUUCUUUAUUUCCUCUGAAUACUCAUGCAUGUGAGAAAAGAUGUCUGAGUUAAGACAUGUCUAUUCUCCUUUAGUCCUCAUUUCAAAUAUCAACCACUAUUUACAGUAUCAUCACUUUUUCCUUUUAAAAUGGACUAGUCAGUUUUAUCUCGAGAUUGUUUGAAAAAGGGUGAUUGCCCCAAAUGACGGUUUCCUGAAGACCAGGAUAGACUAACCAAGAAAAGGCAAAUAUAUUUUGGCCACCUAAGUAACUGCUUCCUCUUAGUAUUUUUCUGUAAAUAUGGAUGUCCAUUUGGACUAGUCCUUUCUCAAUCAUAUUGAAGUUUAAAUAUAUUUACUUUAAUUGGUUAAAUCAAGUUAACAAUCUCUAUUCUGAUUUCUUCCUAAGGAUUGGUAUGCAUGACAAAAAGAAUGAAACUAUAACUUAAGGCUUGGCCUGCAUUGAAUGCCUUUUUCCUCCUGAGCAGAGUCAAUUGAAAAAUAUCUCGCUUGCUGCCUCCUUUUUAACAUUUAUUCUUAGGCUUAAU